rnacentral:lncRNA from 1 species
AUGACAUGCGUUCUUAAACUUUUUUUUUUUUUUGGCCUUGCCUGCGGCAUGUGGAGAUUCUCGGUCCAGGGAUUGAACCUGCACCACAGCAGUAGUGACCCAAGCAGCUGCAGUGACGAUACUGGAUUCUUAGGCUGCACCACAGGAGAACUUCUCUCAAACUUUAUGGGCAUGUGGAAGUUCCUGGUAUUGAAGCUAAGCCACAAUGACAAUGCCAGAUCCUUAACACGCUGAGACACCGGUGAACUUCUGAGAGUAAAUCUUGAAAUACCAUCUCUUCUGUGUGCUGAGUAUGCAGACCUGUCUGAAAACAGAGGCCUUUAGGUAAAUCACUUACCUGAAAGGCCUGCUGUACAGGUCUACUCUCUUUGGUUGUGAACACCAGCCACUGCUUGUAUCCUCCCUCACAGCUGGAGAUCCCAAAGAGAAUCCUAAAAAUGGUGGGUUUGUUUGGAGGUGGGCCCAGGCAAGGAUGGGUGGGGAUAGAGGGUAUAGAAGGCAAACAGGAAAUUGUUUCUUUUACGCUCAUGGGCUAAACCUAUUCACAUAGUGGUCAGCUAGUAUUUUUACAGCUGGUUUAAGUUAUCUAUCUCCUUAGUAGGUGGAGACCUGCUUCCAAUGAAGUCUGGCCUUCCCUUUUAUGCUAAAGGUUACCUUUUUCUUUUAAUUAUAGUUGAUUUACAAUGUUAAGGGUUACUUUUUCUUUUUUGGCUGCACUAGUGGCGUGCAGUUAAGUUCCCUGGCCAGGAAUUUAACUGUAUCCACAGGAUCCUCAACCGCCUAGGCCACAAGAGAACUUCAAGGGUUACUUUGUACAGUCCCCCCCCCGCCCCCCCGCAAGCCUUCUAAAUUUCCUAAGGCCGAACAUGGGGCAACGCAUCAAGCAAGAAUGACACCGGAUACGAAGUAAGAUAAAGGAGUGAUUUCUGAACUCAAAAUAUGUUGGGUCCUUUUUCCUUCAGGAAAGGGAGACAGGAUAGACAAGCUAGACAAGCAUCAAAAGACCAGACAAGGCGCGCCGUGGGGGCGUAGGAGCUGAGCCGUCGCAGGCCCAGCCGGGGUCAGGCCACGUGGCGUCAGCUCCGGGUCUGCGGGCGGGCGGGCAGGCGGGAAUGCGGGGCCCCAGGCGGCUGCCCGCAGUCCUGGGGCAGCGGGUUCCGGUCCACGUGGCCGCCGCAGGCCCAAAGUCCAAGGGCGGCGGCAGGGCCCGGGGUCCACGGUGUGCCUCGGAUCCCCCAGCAAAGCGGGAAUAAAGAACUGGACAGCCGCUACCGGGCUGCAAGCACGUUCCCGCCCCAGCCUUGGGGAAGGUGGGGGGGGCAGCGCGCAGCACUGCAGCCCCCGACCACGGUGGCUGGUUGCCCCCCCGGCGGGGGGGGAAAGAACCGGAAGCCACGAGGGGGACCGCCCGCCCUCUUCUCGCGAGACGUGGGACAGGCAGGGGGUUGGUCGGGCGAUGGGAACGUAGCCAAUGAGCCAGCGGGAAAGGCGUGAUCGACGGCCUCCUCUAAGCCCCGCCCCGGCUGCGGAGGCCGCGGUUGCCGCCUGCCUCUCCUUCCCCUCCCC